CCCCCCCCGCAGCGCCCCGCCGCACCCGGGCCCCGGCAGCAAGCGGAGACCGGCGGCGUGCGAGUGGGAGGCGCCGCCCCCCCCCAAGCAGCGGCUGCCGGAGGCCGUGGCCGCCGCUCGGCUCCGGGUGCUGGGAGCUCAGCACGACCACGGCUACAGCGGGAACGGGCUCCCCCCGAGGCCCCACAUCCCCUGAGGCCGCUGGUGCCCCACAACCGCCCCUCCCCCACCGUCUCCAGCUGCUACUUGGGGGGCUGAGAC